rnacentral:rRNA from 1 species
UACGUAGGGGGCAAGCGUUGUCCGGAUUUAUUGGGCGUAAAGAGCGUGUAGGCGGUUUGGUAGGUCCGUUGUGAAAACUCGAGGCUCAACCUCGAGACGCCGAUGGAAACCAUCAGACUAGAGUCCGGAAGAGGAGAGUGGAAUUCCUGGUGUAGCGGUGAAAUGCGCAGAUAUCAGGAAGAACACCCGUGGCUAAGGCGGCUCUCUAGUACGGUACUGACGCUGAGAUGCGAAAGCGUGGGGAGCGAACAGG